rnacentral:lncRNA from 1 species
UGUAGGGAGCCUUAGUCACACCACUGCACUCCGGCUUGAGUGACAGAGCAAGAUCCUGUUUUUUUUUUUUUUUAAAAAAAAGCCUCUUUCGGCUGGGCGCGGUGGCUCAUGCCUGUAAUCCCAGCACUUUGGGAGGCCGAGACUACAGGGGUGCACUACCAUGCCUGGCUAAUUUUUUUUUUAACUUUAGUAGAGACAAGGUCUUGCUAUGUUGCCCAGGCUGGUCUUGAAUUCCUGAGCUCAAGUGAUCCUCGCAUCUUCGCCUCCUAAAGUGCUAGGAUUACAGGCGUGAGCCGCUGCACCUAGCCCAAAUGUUAUGCUCUUACCCAAUCUCCCUGCUUAUUUCAAAGUGUCACAGCAUAUACCCCAUACCUUGUUUUACUGAUUCAUUUGGGUUGUGUUUUUGACUUAUAACCAUAUUUCAUUUACCCAGGCCCCUAUUUGUGGUAGAGUGCAAAGACCAAUACAGAUAACGGCAUUCAAUGGACUGAAAAACUAGAAACUGAGGCCGGGCGCGGUGGCUCACGCCUGUAAUCCCUGCACUUUGGGAGGCCGGGAGCGGUGGUGGCUCACGCCUGUAAUCCCAGCACUUUGGGAGGCCGGGCGCGGUGGAUCAUGAGGUCAAGAGAUCGAGACCAUCCUGGUCAACAUGGUGAAACACCAUCUCUACUAAAAAUACAAAAAAAUUAGCUGGGCAUGGUGGCGCGUGCCUGUAAUCCCAGCUACUCAGGAGGCUGAGGCAGGAGAAUUGCCUGAACCCAGGAGGCGGAGGUUGCAGUGAGCCGAGAUUGCGCCAUUGCACUCCAGGCUGGGUAACAAGAGCGAAACUCCGUCUCAAAAACAAAACAAAACAAAACAAAAAAACUACAAAUUUAACUGGGAAUAUUUGGAGGCAGAAGAUGAGUGGAAUGCAAGCAUCCUACCAAGAAAUGCGAUGCCCGGCCACAGUGGAUGAACCACAUGCUGUCAGAGCCAGACUCCCCAAUGUAUGACAUUUCCUUGCUUC